GUUAUCGUGGCCGAGUGGUUAAGGAAAUAGACUAGAAAUUAUUUGGGAUCUUCCCGCGCAUGUUCGAAUCCUGCCGACAACG
rnacentral:tRNA from 1 species